GCUAGGUUACCUGUCUCUCCCUCUUUCCUCCUCCUUUCCUUCCGUGGAAAUUAAACGUCUCAGGCAUGAUAUACUGUAGUCUAGUUCCCUCUCAUCUGCAGGGAACGAAUUUAAAAAAUAGUGGAUAUUUGAAAUCAUGGAUAGUACUGAUAUGUAUAUAUGCGUGUGUAUAUAUACACACACACACAAACAUGUCAUGUUUUUACAUACCUAUGGUAAAAGUUUAUAAAUUAGAUACAUUAAGAAAUUAACAAUGGCAAAAAUAAAAAAGAAUGAUUUAGUGUAAUAAAAUGGCCAGGAUCACUGGUCUUAUACUUUGUGGCCAUUAUUAAGUAAAAUAAGUGUUACUUGAACACAGAGACUGUGUGAUUCUGUGACAGUAAAAGAUGAAAUGGUUCCUAAGUGUCUAAUGGAUGGGUAGUAUAUACAGAAUGUACACACUGCAAAAAGGGUUGCUUAAUGUAUCAGGUGGGACAGAGUGAGAUUUCUUCACUCAGAAUGGUGUGCAAUUUAAAAUUUAUGGAUUUUUCAUUUCUGAAAAUUUCCACUUAAUAUAAUUUUCAGAAAAUGGUUGACCGCAGGUAACUGAAGCCAUUGGAAAGAGAAAACGUCAGGUAAGGGGAUACUACUUUAUUUGGAUUUGAUGGGUUUGGUAUACCAAAACAAAAACCAAUAAGAAAAGGAAAAGGGGGGAAAAAGAGAAGUAGGUUCCUCCCCUUGAAGACUUUAUAUUUAAUUGGGAAGUCAAGAUUAGGCAAAAUUAGAAAAUAUCAAACAAUUGGAGAACAACAACGAAAAACGAUAGCAUUCAGAGUAGUAAAAGUCAUUUGUGUUGUUACUGGGUAAGGAUAGCUUCAAGGAGAUGUAUUUUCAGCCAGGUCUCAAUUCGAAUGCAUAAAAGAGAAAAAGGAUAUUCAGGGAGAAUUGUUUUCAUUUGAGGUGUAUGUGUAUCAUUCAUUCAUCUGGUCACCAAUAUUUGACUUAUGUGUAUAAUUUUGGCAUAAUGUGAGGCAGAGUGAAGGGAUGGAAAGUACUUCACUUGGAAAGGUAGGGCUUGUCAUUGUGUGGUUUCCUCAAAAGUGCUUGAUUGUCCCAGCCAUUUCACACAUGCCGUCGUCUCCUCUAGAAAGACUUUCUCCGUGGCUGCCUCAUCCUAUGGAACUCAGCUCAGACCAGACGUGGAUUCCCUCCACAGAGCCCUCCUUCGCUUAAGAUUGGGCUAGGUGGCCAUUACCAAGAGCUAGCAUUGGCCUCUGUUUCCCUGCACCUGGGAAGAAUUUAUGCUAACCAGCUGCGAGGAAGAAGCAAAGAGAUGACACCAGAAAAACAAUGAGGAGGAAAUACUCCAAUGUUUCAACAGUGAACACACAUAUGAUUAGUACCCGGAUCAGUAAUCAGAACCUCACUAGCACCCCAGAUGCCUCCUUGUUUCUCCUUCUUCUCCUGGUAACCCCUGUGGGAAGUCAUUUCUGGAGGAGGAUCUUGUGGAAGUGGCCAGCUCAAGGCUGAGGGAUCAUUAUACAUCAUGUUACCUACAGCAGCAGACAGCUCAGUUUGUAUGCUAAAGUGACCCAAGAAACAGCAAGGCAAGAGGUCUGCUUGUGCCUUCUCUAUGAAGAUAUAUGGAAAUAGCAAUACAAAAAAAAAAUCCAGAAGCCCCUGAAAAAGGCAUUUUCCAAUAUUGCUAUGAAAGGUGGAGUAUAAUGUUUAAGAAAGAAAAAUACAAAUUUGAUGAAAUGGAAAGCAGUCUAUGAACAGAGUAUGAAGGGCUGUAGGCCAGCUAAGGGAAGCAAGGAGCAUGAUCAUAAUACCCCAGAUAUCCUUAUACCUCAUCUGCCUUCUUUCCUCUUCUACUUUGACCUCUGCCCAUGAUCAAAUCCACAAAUCAAGAUAUUUCCACCUAAGAUGUAGCCAAAAGACUAUACUUUCAGGGAUCAUUUCUAUAGUAUGUUACUAAGAUGUAGCCAAAAAACUGGUGGCAGUGUGAUCAACUCCUAGAGUGCUCCCAUAAAGAUGUCUCACCUGUGAAUACAGCCUUGUGAUUGUGUCAUAUCUGAUGGCAAAGUUGGCCUGAAGAUAGAAGAAGCUAACCUGGGUGGGUUUGAAUUAAUCACAGGAGACCUUUCAGAGGGCUCUUCCAGCUGGAGACCGAAGUCAGAGAGAUAUGAAGAGUGAAGGGGAUUUGACUUGAAGAUGCAGGAGGCCACACAAGAAAGAAUUCAAACAACCUUAAAGAGAAAAGCAUCCUGGCCAACAACCAUCAAGGAAGCAAGGCUGUUAAUCCUAUGACCACAAGAGACUGGAUUCUGCCCAUGACCUCAGUGAGCCUGGAAGUGAUGUCCAUUCAGAGUCUGCAGAUGAAGGCUCAGCUUGGCUCACAGCUUGAGUCUCUCUUUGUGAUCCCUGGAACAGAGAAGGGAGUGACACUGAGCAGGACUUCCAGCCUACAGGACUGUGAAUUAAUAAACAGAUGUUGUUAGAAGCUUCUAAGUGUAUGGUAAUUUGUUGCACAGUGAGAGACACAUAAAAUGAGAAGUAAUUUGAGUGAUAGUGAAGAGUCGAUCUUAUGAGCCAGCAAAUGUGAAGAAUGUCUGAAAAGGAUGUUGCCAACUGUGGUCUAAAGAAAAGUGAAGAGAUAAAGGGAUCAUCUAACAUUUUCUGAGGGGAAGAGGGGGAGAAGUGGAAGAGUAAGAAGAUGAAUGUAAGAAAGAAAUCAGGAGCAGGGAAAUAGGAGUAGAAUGAAUGAAACCACGUGUCUGUCUACAUGUGAAUAUAUGUAGGACAAGUAUAGGAAGAGUUGGCUGCCCUUACCUAGUUGAGUUCUAUAAUUAGGAGAUGAUCACAUUGUAAUCUUUGAAGUGCUCGGAAACUGCAAGUGGUUUCCAUGUUGCUUUCAAGAGUGUCACAAGCAAACAGAAAAAUCUUCUCAGAAUCGUCUAUGUUUCUAAAUUGUCCAUUUUCAUUUUUAAAGUGAAAAGACACUCUUGUUGUCCUCACUUCGUGAACAUAGAAAUCCAUGUGAGAGGACGAGUAACAUGUUUCUAGAAUUUUAAGCAAUUUAUUUGACAAGUAAUGUUAUUGAUUAGAAAUCCUGAAUUCUCGAUUGUACAGGUUUAUAGUUUAUUAAAAAUAAAAAGACAGAUUGUGCUCGGUGGUGUGA